CGUGGUGGGCCAGCGUGGUCUUGGGAAAUGCAACAUUUGGGCACGAAGGCAGGAGUGCCUGUCCUCACCAAGGUUCGUGACCACCAGCAGAUGGGCAGAGUCCUAGCCGGGGACCCGCCCUUCCCUUCCCAGCCCUUCCCCACCCCCCUUCCAUAUCAAAGUGUUCCGUCUGGAACAGAAAAGGGAACUAAGCCUCCAGGAGAAAGUCCUUGUGGCAAGUUCGCAACCCGAUUACAGUAUGAGGAAAUGAUUUUGGAUGUCCCAAUCAGCUGGGAUUAGAGAAGAGCAGCUGCUGCUUCAGCAAAGCUGCUUCACAGAUAAGAUACUGUUGAAUUCACUCCAGCUCACUUGGUACAAGAUAUUCCUUUAAGAGGGAGAGAGUAGCAGCUGUAUUUGGUAUUUUCACAAAGAAAAUAUUUUCCAGUAGAAGAGGCCAAGAUAUGCGAAGAUAAGUCAGGUUGUGCUACAUAGCUAUAAUCUCCAAUUGACUUUUUUUUUUAUAUAAUUGAAAAAACAGACAAAAACUCUGAACAAGAACAACAAAAGGAAAAAAGCACGUCUCACAGAGCAAGUUCUCUGAGCUGAGCUGAAUGUGUUGUCUCUCCAGAAUAAUUCAUCAUUAAAAACCACAGAAUGGCAUCUCUUGACAGGCAAAGAAACAUUAGAAUACAAAUUGAGUUGGGAGAGCUGAUGACUUCUUUCUGCUUCAGACCCUUUGGCUUCCAGACUCCAGCCCGCUCUUGACUACAGGUGACCCACUGACACCCUGGAGCCUGCUCUAUUGCCUUGACCACCUUUUCUAGGGCUCUUGGCCUUGUUCCUGACCUCUUGCUGCACUGGAGUCCUCACCCUCUGUUGCAGAUCCCAGUCCCUGACACUGGCGUGGCCUUCUCACGAGAGCAAGCAGGCCCAGCCAAUCAGUUUCAUUCUAUUGUAACCCUUGCCCUAUUUUGAAAUCAUGAGUGAUUCUCUGUACUUCAGCAGGGCUCACUUCACCAACUGAGGAUAAGGAAGCCCCUAUU